rnacentral:rRNA from 1 species
AUUGAACGCUGGCGGCAGGCCUAACACAUGCAAGUCGGGCGAACGAGGCUUCGGCCAAGUGAGCGGCGAACGGGUGAGUAACACGUAGGAAUCUGCCUGGUAGUGGGGGACAACGUCUCGAAAGGGACGCUAAUACCGCAUACGCCCUACGGGGGAAAGCAGGGGCUCUUCGGACCUUGCGCUAUCAGAUGAGCCUGCGUCGGAUAAGCUAGUUGGUAGGGUAAAGGCCUACCAAGGCGACGAUCCGUAACUGGUCUGAGAGGAGGAUCAGGCCAAGCGGAACUGAGACACGGUCCGGACGCCUCCGGGAGGCAGCAGUGGGGAAUAUUGGACAAUGGGGGCAACCCUGAUCCAGCCACGCCGCGUGUGUGAAGAAGGCCUUCGGGUUGUAAAGCACUUUAGGUCGGGAGGAAGGUUCGCUGGCUAAUAUCCAGCGGAAUUGACGUUACCGACAGAAUAAGCACCGGCUAACUCCGUGCCAGCCGCCGCCGUAAAAC